UACGGAGGGAGCAAGCGUUACUCGGAAUCAUUGGGCGUAAAGGGCGCGUAGGCGAUUUGACAAGUCUUAUGUGAAAGCCCACAGCCUAACUGUGGAAGUGCAUAAGAUACUGUCGAAUUUGAGUUCAGGAGAGGAAAGCAGAAUUCCCGGUGUAGCGGUGAAAUGCGUAGAUAUUGGGAGGAACACCGGUGGCGAAGGCGGCUACCUGGACCGGUUCUGACGCUGAUGCGCGAAAGCGUGGGUAGCAAACAGG
rnacentral:rRNA from 1 species